rnacentral:rRNA from 1 species
UACAGAGGUCCCAAGCGUUGUUCGGAUUCACUGGGCGUAAAGGGCGCGUAGGCGGCGGGGUAAGUCUGGUGUGAAAUCUCGGAGCUCAACUCCGAAAUUGCACUGGAUACUGCUCUGCUAGAGGGCUGGAGAGGAGAUCGGAAUUCACGGUGUAGCAGUGAAAUGCGUAGAUAUCGUGAGGAAGACCAGUGGCGAAGGCGGAUCUCUGGACAGCUCCUGACGCUGAGGCGCGAAGGCUAGGGGAGCAAACGGG